AUACGUAGGGUGCUAGCGUUAUCCGGAUUUACUGGGCGUAAAGGGUGCGUAGGUGGUCUUUCAAGUCGGUGGUUAAAGGCUACAGCUCAACCGUAUUAAGCCGCCGAAACUGGAAGACUUGAGUGCAGGAGAGGAAAGUGGAAUUCUCAGUGUAGCGGUGAAAUGCGUAGAUAUUGAGAAGAACACCAGUAGCGAAGGUGGCUUUCUGGACUGUAACUGACACUGAGGCACGAAAGCGUGGGUAGCAAACAGGAUUAGAUACCCUGGUAGUCCACGCCGUAAACGAUGAGUAUUAGGUGUCGGGGGUUACCCCCCUCGGUGCCGCAGUUAACGCAUUAAAUACUCCGCCUGGGGAGUACGCACGCAAGUGUGAAACUCAAAGGAAUUGGCGGGG
rnacentral:rRNA from 1 species